GGCUUGCCUGGACCGUUAGUGGCGGACGGCUGAGUAACGCGUGGGUGACCUGCCCCGGAGUGGGGAAUAACUGCCCGAAAGGGUGGCUAAUACCGCAUGUGCCGGUACGUUCAUUCGUACCAGCAAAGCCGCAAGGCGCUUCGGGAGGGGCCUGCGUCCGAUUAGCUCGUUGGUGGGGUAACGGCUCACCAAGGCGACGAUCGGUAGGUGGUCUGAGAGGACGAUCACCCAGACUGGGACUGAGACACGGCCCAGACUCCUACGGGAGGCAGCAGUCGGGAAUUUUGCGCAAUGGACGAAAGUCUGACGCAGCAACGCCGCGUGAGGGAUGAAGGCCUUCGGGUUGUAAACCUCUUUUCUCAGGGAAGAUAAUGACGGUACCUGAGGAAUAAGCCACGGCUAA
rnacentral:rRNA from 1 species